UACAUUACAAUCAGAUUGUAAUCCUCAAACAAGUAAAGUAUCUUUUUUAGUUUCCCUUUCGAUCUGGGCUGUCGUAGGAAGAAUUGAGCCGCAGUAAACUGGAGUUUUCUUUGAGGCUAUUUGCUUGUUAAUUGGGGUUGAAGAUGUUUCACCGGACAAACAAGCUGAUUUUCUUUCGGCAUUGCUUAAUCCCCUUUGCCAGCAGGUGGAGGUGUUGCUGCAAAAUGCC